CGGGAAGAGCAUUCGAAUGCGAAGCGGUUGGUGCGGUUGUUGAAGUCGCGUUUGUGCAGUGCUGCUCUUGUUUCAUCGAUUUAUCCAGGUUUUACACUCCGCGCUUUGUUGACGUGCGUGGUCUAAUCGUGUUGUGUACGUGAGUGGCGUGUAACUAGUGAUACAGCACGCAAGGACAGUCAUUAACGUGCGCGAUCCGCCGCAAAUCAGCCACGAGGCAUUGCAACGGGCACGUUCAGUGGGCUGCGCGGCCGUUGCGACGAGCUGCAUUGCUCAUUCUUCGCUUGAGACUGGCAAUUGUCGAGCGGGUUGCAUCCGUUGUUACGUUGCCCGAAGACAGCAGUAAAUGCGAUUUGCAGAUAGCACGAAUGCCAGCAAUCGUGCGACGUAGGAGUUCAAAGGGGGACAUGGUCGGUGUGGUUGGGUGCAAGCAACGUGUCAUUGUGGUUUAAAAAAUGAAUCAGUAUACAUGUGAUUUAACUGUCAAAGCCGGAAUGUUUAAAGCAUACAUCCCGCCCAAGGCAUGCUGGGAUGAUCUCCUAUCAGGCAGCUUGGAAACUUCCAGACGCCGAUAUGCCUUACGUUCGGUGCAGCCGAGGUUAUGAACUGUCAAGUGGAAUAUGCCCCUUGAGGAAAACAAUUAGGAUCGACUGUCCAGCGAGGAGAUUGCGGAAUCAGCAACUGACAUAUUGACUGAUGAAACAUGAUGGUGCGUGCAGCAAGAGAGGGUUUGACUGCAGAUCCUGACCACCUGCUCCUGUAAAUUUGUACCAACCACAGGCGAAAACAAGAAGAAACGCUAUGAAUACCUGCGGUCUUCUAUCAGCUAGACAAGUCCCUGAAGCUAUAAAUGAAUAAACUUUGAUGUAUUCUGCUUUGGAGGUAUAAAGCAAUG